rnacentral:rRNA from 1 species
UACGAGUGCUCCAAGCGUUGUCCGAAGUUACUGGGCGUAAAGAGCGCGUAGGCGGGUUCUUAAGUGAGUGGUGAAAGGUUCGGGCUUAACCCGGACACUGCCUUUCAUACUGGGAACCUUGAGUGCGGGAGAGGCGAGUGGAAUGGUCGGUGUAGCGGUGAAAUGCGUAGAUAUCGAUCGGAACACCCAUGGCGAAGGCAGCUCGCUGGCCUGCAACUGACGCUGAGGCGCGAAAGCGUGGGGAGCAAACAGG